rnacentral:rRNA from 1 species
UACAGAGGUCUCGAGCGUUAGGCGGAAUCACUGGGCUUAAAGCGUGUGUAGGUGGAUCGUUAAGUACCUUGUGAAAUCCCACAGCUUAACUGUGGAACUGCUUGGUAUACUGCCAGUCUUGAGCCAGCUAGGGGCUACCGGAACAAAUGGUGGAGCGGUGAAAUGCGUAGAUAUCAUUUGGAACGCCAAUGGUGAAAACAGGUAGCUGGGGCUGUGCUGACACUGAGACACGCAAGCCAGGGGAGCAAACGGG